UGUUCCCGUACGAACACCGAAGUUAAGCAACGUCUGGCUUGGUCAGAAUCUAGAUGGGUAACCACUUGGGAAUAUCAGGUGCUGUAA